GUUAGGAAAGGAGGGGAGCUCCACCUACACUAGGUAGACAGGUUUGACACAACUGUAACCUGUGCACCAGAGAACUGGGCUGCACUGCUCACUCAGCCAGGUGUUUAUUUUUUAAAAGCAAACAAGGAACUUGGAAAAAAAAAUUGAGGCACUUAAUAUAGAGAGAGCAUGUUAAAAAAAUCUGAACUUUAUCCCACUGGCAAAGGUACUGCGGGCUGUAACCACACCUAUUUUAAAGGGAGAAGAAGAAGAAGAAGAAGACCUUCUCCUCUCCAAGUGGGUCUUAUUUAGCCUUGUUAUGGUUAUUGGUGUUUUUCAGCCAGUUUUUCCAAAGGAAGGAGAUUUACAAAAUCAUCUGAGAUUAGAAGUCUGCCAUGGCCUCUUCCCAUGUCAUACUCACCAGCUGACUACCUUUUGGUGAAUUGGGAACUCCAUAACCUCCACUUAAAAAACCUAGACACAGGUUGUAUUUUCUUGGAGUUUUCCAGGUAAGGUCAAUUAGACAAUGAGAGAAACUUAGCCUUUGGGGGCCAGUCCCAUUCCCCAUCCCAGGAUCAGAUCUAUGAGAGCUAGAAUUUUUAUUUAUUUUUUAAACCCUUACCUUCCAUCUUAGAAUCAAUACUGUGUAUCAGUUCCAAGGCAGAAGAGUGGUAAGGGCUAAGCAAUGGGGGUUAAGUGACUUGCCCAGGGUCACACAUUUGGGAAGUAUCUGAGGCCAGACUUGAACCCAGGACUCCAGACCUGGCUCUCAAUCCACUGAGCCACCCAGCUGCCCCUGAGAGCUAGAAUUUUUAGGGAAAAUCCCUUAUCUUGUCUUAAAAUUGAUGCCAAGUAUCAGUUCCAAGGAAGAGCAAUAAGGGCCAGGCAACUGGAGUUAAGUGACCUAUCCAGGGUCACAUAGCCAGGAAGUAUCUGAGGCCAGAUUUGAACCCAGGAACCCCCUCAUCUCUGGGUCUGAUUCUAUCUACUGAACCACUGAGCUCUCCCAGGAGUCAUUACUACUUUUUCUCAGGAUCCUGAGAUGGACGGAAUGGUACCUUUAGCAUAAAUAAAAUCUGGAAAUCACAGCU
rnacentral:lncRNA from 1 species